ACAUGCUUUAUAAGUAGGAAAACCUGCAAAAUCGGCAGUGUAUCAAAUACUUGUUCUCCCCAUUGUUUUAGCUAGCUUUCCCAAUUCAACACCUGUGAUUACUGUAUGCCUCGCUGUAUGUCUCUAUCAAAUGUCAAUAUGCCUUGUAUACUGUUGUUCAGGUUAGUUAUCAUUGUUUUAGUUCACAAUGGAGCCCCUAGUUCCACUCUUCAUACCCCUGAUAACUCCUUUGUCCCACCUCCCACACAUGCGGUGACCUCACCCAUUACUACCAGCAUGUCCAGAGAUACAACCUCUCUCAUCAUCACCCAGUGCCUGGGCUUACCUCCGCUGUACCCACACCCCACCAUACCCCUGUCUGCGCAUUAUGCCCAGAAUAUAUUCUACCAUGCCCAGAAACCUGCUCCUCUUAUUCUCUGUCCCCAACGCUCUAGGCGACCAGUUUUGAUAGCCUUUAGCCGCACCCUCAUACUACUCCUUCUCUGUUCCGCGGGUGAUGUGGAGGUAAACCCAGGCCCUGCAUGUCCCCAGGCACCCUCAUUUGUUGACUUCUGUGAUCGAAAAAGCCUUGGUUUCAUGCAUGUCAACAUCAGAAGCCUCCUCCCUAAGUUUGUUUUACUCACUGCUUUAGCACACUCUGCUAACCCUGAUGUCCUUGCUGUGUCUGAAUCCUGGCUCAGGAAGGCCACCAAAAAUUCUGAGAUUUCCAUACCCAACUAUAACAUCUUCCGUCAAGAUAGAACUGCCAAAGGGGGAGGAGUUGCAGUUUACUGCAGAGAUAGCCUGCAAAGUAAUGUCAUACUUUCCAGGUCCAUACCCAAACAGUUUGAACUACUAAUUUUGAAAAUUACUCUCUCCAGAAAUAAGUCUCUCACGGUUGCCGCCUGCUACCGACCCCCCUCAGCUCCCAGCUGUGCCCUGGACACCAUUUGUGAAUUGAUCGCCCCCCAUCUAGCUUCAGAGUUUGUUCUGUUAGGUGACCUAAACUGGGAUGUGCUUAACACCCCGCCAGUCCUACAAUCUAAGCUAGAUGCCCUCAAUCUCACACAAAUCAUCAAGGAACCCACCAGGUACAACCCUAACUCUGUAAACAAG
rnacentral:lncRNA from 1 species